AGAGUUUGAUCCUGGCUCAGAAUGAACGCUGGCGGCGUGGAUUAGGCAUGCAAGUCGAACGGGGCCCUUCGGGGUCCAGUGGCGGAAGGGUGAGUAACACGUGAGCAACCGCCCCCAAGGCCGGAACAAGCGCUGGAAACGGCGUCUGAAACCGGAUGAGGACCCCGCACCGCAUGGUGUGGCGUCCAAAUAUUCAUACCCUGGGGAUGGGCUCGCGGCCCAUUAGCUUGUCGGCGGGGCGACGGCCCACCGAGGCGACGACGGGUAGGUGGUCUGAGAGGAUGGUCACCCACACUGGGACUGAGACACUGCCCAGACUCCUGCGGGAGGCUGCAGUCGAGAAUCUUCCGCAAUGGGCGCAAAGCCUGACGGAGCGAUGCCGCGUGAGGGACGGAGGCCUUCGGGUCGUGAACCUCUGUCGCCCGGGACGAUGAUGACGGUACCGGGAAAGGAAACCACGGCUAACCACGUGCCAGCCGCCGC
rnacentral:rRNA from 1 species